UACAGAGGGGGCAAGCGUUGUUCGGAAUUACUGGGCGUAAAGCGCACGUAGGCGGCUUGGUAUGUCGGGUGUGAAAUCCCCGGGCUCAACCUGGGAACUGCAUCCGAAACUGCCUUGCUAGAGUAUGGGAGAGGGAAGUGGAAUUUCCGGUGUAGCGGUGAAAUGCGUAGAUAUCCGGAGGAACACCGGUGGCGAAGGCGGCUUCCUGGACCGACACUGACGCUGAGGCGCGAAGGCGUGGGGAGCGAACGGG
rnacentral:rRNA from 1 species